rnacentral:rRNA from 1 species
GAUGAACGCUGGCGGCGUGCCUAAUACAUGCAAGUCGAGCGAAUGGAUUAAGAGCUUGCUCUUAUGAAGUUAGCGGCGGACGGGUGAGUAACACGUGGGUAACCUGCCCAUAAGACUGGGAUAACUCCGGGAAACCGGGGCUAAUACCGGAUAACAUUUUGAACCGCAUGGUUCGACAUUGAAAGGCGGCUUCGGCUGUCACUUAUGGAUGGACCCGCGUCGCAUUAGCUAGUUGGUGAGGUAACGGCUCACCAAGGCAACGAUGCGUAGCCGACCUGAGAGGGUGAUCGGCCACACUGGGACUGAGACACGGCCCAGACUCCUACGGGAGGCAGCAGUAGGGAAUCUUCCGCAAUGGACGAAAGUCUGACGGAGCAACGCCGCGUGAGUGAUGAAGGCUUUAGGGUCGUAAAACUCUGUUGUUAGGGAAGAACAAGUGCUAGUUGAAUAAGCUGGCACCUUGACGGUACCUAACCAGAAAGCCACGGCUAACUACGUGCCAGCCGCCGCUGUAA